GCCUGCUCUGUUCAGUUCUAGUUCAGUUCAGUUCUAGUGCAGUUUUCGUGCAGCGAAAAAAAACAAACCUAAGAUGAAAAAGAGAACAUACCAAAAAAAUGUAACAAUAGGAGAAAGUUAAAUACUAUAAUA